UACCAAUCUUUGGCUUGUUGAGUAAAAACAUCAAAUCCAUAAACACCAAAACACCUGUCUCACAACUCCAAUUAAACUUCCAGAGGAUCAUCAGUUUGAAGAUCCAGGAAGGAUUUGCUUGAAGAGCUGGAGUGCGUGGCGAUUCACGGGAGGUAGAAAUUAUACAAGGCUGGGAUUUAGCACGGAUCUGCAAAAUCCAGGAGGGUCUUGAGUUCAUACAGCAAGGAGGUCAAAAAAUUGAGAGU
rnacentral:lncRNA from 1 species